rnacentral:rRNA from 1 species
CUCAGGACGAACGCUGGCGGCGUGCCUAAUACAUGCAAGUUGAGCGCUGAAGGUUGGUACUUGUACCGACUGGAUGAGCAGCGAACGGGUGAGUAACGCGUGGGGAAUCUGCCUUUGAGCGGGGGACAACAUUUGGAAACGAAUGCUAAUACCGCAUAAAAACUUUAAACACAAGUUUUAAGUUUGAAAGAUGCAAUUGCAUCACUCAAAGAUGAUCCCGCGUUGUAUUAGCUAGUUGGUGAGGUAAAGGCUCACCAAGGCGAUGAUACAUAGCCGACCUGAGAGGGUGAUCGGCCACAUUGGGACUGAGACACGGCCCAAACUCCUACGGGAGGCAGCAGUAGGGAAUCUUCGGCAAUGGACGAAAGUCUGACCGAGCAACGCCGCGUGAGUGAAGAAGGUUUUCGGAUCGUAAAACUCUGUUGGUAGAGAAGAACGUUGGUGAGAGUGGAAAGCUCAUCAAGUGACGGUAACUACCCAGAAAGGGACGGCUAACUACGUGCCAGCAGCCGCGGUAAUACGUAGGUCCCGAGCGUUGUCCGGAUUUAUUGGGCGUAAAGCGAGCGCAGGUGGUUUAUUAAGUCUGGUGUAAAAGGCAGUGGCUCAACCAUUGUAUGCAUUGGAAACUGGUAGACUUGAGUGCAGGAGAGGAGAGUGGAAUUCCAUGUGUAGCGGUGAAAUGCGUAGAUAUAUGGAGGAACACCGGUGGCGAAAGCGGCUCUCUGGCCUGUAACUGACA